GUAAACUGGUGCUCCAGAACUGGGG
rnacentral:piRNA from 1 species